rnacentral:rRNA from 1 species
GACGAACGCUGGCGGCGUGCUUAACACAUGCAAGUCGAACGGAAAGGCCCUGCGUUUGUGGGGUGCUCGAGUGGCGAACGGGUGAGUAACACGUGAGUAACCUGCCCUUGACUUUGGGAUAACUUCAGGAAACUGGGGCUAAUACCGGAUAGGAGCUCCUGCUGCAUGGUGGGGGUUGGAAAGUUUCGGCGGUUGGGGAUGGACUCGCGGCUUAUCAGCUUGUUGGUGGGGUAGUGGCUUACCAAGGCUUUGACGGGUAGCCGGCCUGAGAGGGUGACCGGCCACAUUGGGACUGAGAUACGGCCCAGACUCCUACGGGAGGCAGCAGUGGAGAAUAUUGCACAAUGGGCGGAAGCCUGAUGCAGAAACGCCGCGUGCGGGAUGACGGCCUUCGGGUUGUAAACCGCUUUCGACUGUGACGAAGCGUGAGUGACGGUAAUGGGUAAAGAAGCAACGGCUAACUACGUG